AUCGAACGCUAGCGGGAUGCUUUACACAUGCAAGUCGAACGAGUGGCGGACGGGUGAGUAAUAUAUCGGAACGUGCCCAGUAGCGGGGGAUAAGUACGCGAAAGAGUGGCUAAAACCGCAUACGACUGGUGCGGCCGUUAUCGGAGUAGCUAGUGGGUGGGGUAAAGGCUCACCAAGGCAACGAUCCGUAGCUGGUUUGAGAGGACGACCGGCCACACUGGGACUGAGACACGGCCCAGACUCCUACGGGAGGCAGCAGUGGGGAAUUUUGGACAAUGGGGGAAACCCUGACCCAGCCAUCCCGCGUGUAUGAGAAGGCCUUCGGGUUGUAAAGUACUUUUGGCAGAGAAGCGGUAUCUGCAGAAUAAGCACCGGCUAACUACGUGCCAGCAGCCGCGGUAAUUC
rnacentral:rRNA from 1 species